UACGUAGGGUGCAAGCGUUAAUCGGAAUUACUGGGCGUAAAGCGUGCGCAGGCGGUUUUGCAAGACAGAUGUGAAAUCCCCGGGCUUAACCUGGGAACCGCAUUUGUGACUGCAUAGCUGGAGUACGGCAGAGGGGGAUGGAAUUCCGCGUGUAGCAGUGAAAUGCGUAGAUAUGCGGAGGAACACCGAUGGCGAAGGCAGUCCCCUGGGCCUGUACUGACGCUCAUGCACGAAAGCGUGGGGAGCAAACAGG
rnacentral:rRNA from 1 species